rnacentral:rRNA from 1 species
UACGAAGGGUGCAAACGUUGCCCGGAAUUAUUGGGCGUAAAGCGCACGUAGGCGGCUUUGCAAGUCGGAUGUGAAAUCCCUCGGCUUAACCAAGGAAGUGCAUCCGAAACUGCAGUGCUUGAGUACUUAAGAGGAUCGCGGAAUUCCCGGUGUAGAGGUGAAAUUCGUAGAUAUCGGGAGGAACACCAGUGGCGAAGGCGGCGAUCUGGGAAGAUACUGACGCUGAGGUGCGAAAGCGUGGGGAGCAAACAGG